GACGAACGCUGGCGGCGUGCUUAACACAUGCAAGUCGAACGAAGUGGCGAACGGGUGAGUAACGCGUAAUCAACCUGCCCUUCAGAGGGGGACAACAGUUGGAAACGACUGCUAAUACCGCAUACUGAAGGAGGGGAUUGCGUUUGAUGCGCUAGUUGGGGGGGGAACGGCCCACCAAGGCGAUGCACAGUAGCAGGGCUGAGAGGAUGAACGGCCACAUUGGGACUUAGACACGGCCCAGACUCCUACGGGAGGCAGCAGUGGGUGAUCUUCCGCAAUGGACGAAAGUCUGACUGAGCAACGCCGCGGGAGGGAUGACGGCCUUCGGGGUGUAAAGCUCUGUUAAUCGGGACGCGGUACCGGAAUAGAAAGCCACGGCUAACUACGUGCCAGCAGCCGCGGUAAUAC
rnacentral:rRNA from 1 species